GAUGAAGAACGUAGCGAAAUGCGAUACGUAAUGUGAAUUGCAGAAUUCAGUGAAUCAUCGAAUCUUUGAACGCAUAUUGCGCUCUCUGGUAUUCCGGAGAGCAUGCUUGUUUGAGUAUCAGUAAACACCUCAACUUCCAUAUCUUUUUUUGAAAUGGGAGUUGGACUUGAGUGAUCCCAACGCUUUUCCUCACCGAAAAGUGGCGGGUUACUUGAAAUGCAGGUGCAGCUGGACUUUUCUCUGAGCUAUAAGCAUAUAUAUUUAGUCUGCCUAAAAAACAGAUUAUUACCUUUGCUGCAGCUAACAUAAAGGAGAUUAGUUCUUGUGCUGACUGAUGCAGGAUUCACAAAGACAGCUUCGGCCGACUUUGUAAACUCGAUCUCAAAUCAAGUAAGACUACCCGCUGAACUUAAGCAUAUCAAUAAGCGGAGGA
rnacentral:misc_RNA from 1 species